GCCUGAGUAGCUUAGUCAGUAAAGCGUCCAACUCUUGAUUUCGUCUCGAGUCAUGAUCUCAGAGUUGUGAGAUUGAGCCCCAUCUCAGGCU
rnacentral:tRNA from 1 species